UAUCAUAAGUACGUGUCAUGCUAAUCAGUCUAGCUCCAUUUUAGUCACAUAAACACACAUUUUAUAUGCUCAGUCCGUUUUGGCCAUGUAAAUAGAAUAAUCUGAUCUGUGAGGAUUGUCUAACAGAUCUAAGAAACCAGGAUCGUGCAUGAUGGUUAGGCUAGAACUACUCUUGAUUGUGGUGCUUGUGCAGGCUGUUGCUGGGGCUCGGUCCUAUCUCAUUGAUACAAUUACUGACUGUGACCAUGUAUGUCACCAUCGUCACCACUAUAAUGAAUCAUUACUCAGCCUUUGUGGAUGUCCGCAUCAAGGGCAUCGCGAGAGUCAUAGUACAGCGCUGACGACCCUGUCCAUGUGUGAUUACCUGUGUUCCAUACAGAUGGGCGGCUCAGCCUGUGACUGCUCCGUGUCAAUUGUACCCGGCAGGAAAUGAGUUGCUUUGUGAUUUCUGGUUUUUGUUACCUGAUAAAACACCAAACUACA